CUUCAUAAACUGUCUUUCGAACAUUUAUUUGUCAGAUAAAAGCCGAUCUUAUAACUUUUGUCUGUCUUCCUAUACAACUUAAACAUUAAAAAAAUUCGAAAGUUUAAUUUGACAGGAUUCUGCAGACUAACUGUCAAGUAAUCAAAUUCUGACGACAAUUUUUGCACCUGAACAUAAAAUGACAUCGCAUUUUUUUACAUUCACCCUUCUUCUCGGGAUACAUUACAUAGUGUCUGGUCAGCUUUGUCGAAAGGUGGUCAUAAACGGACGCAUUGUCUGUAGAGAUACCUCUCCAUUUGACAAUGGACUUGGUCAAUGUGCUAGGAGUUCAACAUCGGAUGUCUAUAACAGAUGUGGGUUCGUCGGUAAAGGCUGCCGCUGUAGAUCAGCUAAUGUGCUACACUUCGCGCAAUCAAAUAUGUCGUUACCCAAUGAUUUAUUCGGUCGUUAAAGAUAAUUCAGCUAGCUUUUGUACCUGAUCUCUUUCGUUCUUAACACUUUAAAUUGAUGUUGUUUCCACAGUAAUGUUUUCCCGACUUGGUAUUGAUAGUUAUCAAGGGAAGCUGUAUUGCAAUUGUAAAUUUGUAGUUAAUUACACAGAUACAAUAUAUGUCAAUAUAUGUUUAAAAUGCUGUAUUGAACUGUGUUUUGUUGAUUAUUUUUUACUGAGUGGGAAUAAAUUACAGGAGUAAACAUUU